rnacentral:rRNA from 2 species
ACGGGGUGCAGCAGGCGCGAAACCUUUGCAAUGUGCGAAAGCACGACAAGGUUAAUCCGAGUGUCUCCCGCUAAGGGAGUCUUUUGUCAGCUCUAGAACCACUGGUGAAUAAGGGGUGGGCAAGUUCUGGUGUCAGCCGCCGCGGUAAAACCAGCACCUCGAGUGGUCAGGAGGUUUAUUGGGCCUAAAGCAUCCGUAGCCGGUUGCAUAAGUUUUCGGUUAAAUCUAUGCGCUUAACGUAUAGGCCGCCGAAAAUACUGUGCAGCUAGGGAGUGGGAGAGGUACACGGUACUCGAUAGGAAGGGGUAAAAUCCUUUGAUCUAUUGAUGACCACCUGUGGCGAAGGCGGUGUACCAGAACACGUUCGACGGUGAGGGAUGAAAGCUGGGGGAGCAAACCGGAUUAGAUACCCGGGUAGUCCCAGCUGUAAACGAUGCAGACUCGGUGAUGCAUUGGCUUGUGGCCAAUGCAGUGCCGCAGGGAAGCCGUUAAGUUUGCCGCCUGGGAAGUACGUACGCAAGUAUGAAACCUAAAGGAAUUGGCGGGGGAGCAC